rnacentral:rRNA from 1 species
UACAGAGGGUGCAAGCGUUGUUCGGAAUUAUUGGGCGUAAAGGGCGCGUAGGCGGUGCGGUAAGUCCGCAGUGAAAUCUCUGGGCUCAACUCAGAGUCUGCUGUGGAAACUGCCGUGCUAGAGUGUGGGAGAGGUGAGUGGAAUUCCCGGUGUAAGCGGUGAAAUGCGUAGAUAAUCGGGAGGAACACCUGUGGCGAAAGCGGCUCACUG